rnacentral:rRNA from 2 species
GGAGCAACACCGCGUGAGUGAAGAAGGGUUUCGGCUCGUAAAACUCUGUUGUUGGAGAAGAACGUGCGUAAGAGUAACUGUUUACGCAGUGACGGUAUCCAACCAGAAAGUCACGGCUAACUACGUGCCAGCAGCCGCGGUAAUACGUAGGUGGCAAGCGUUAUCCGGAUUUAUUGGGCGUAAAGCGAGCGCAGGCGGUUGCUUAGGUCUGAUGUGAAAGCCUUCGGCUUAACCGAAGAAGUGCAUCGGAAACCGGGCGACUUGAGUGCAGAAGAGGACAGUGGAACUCCAUGUGUAGCGGUGGAAUGCGUAGAUAUAUGGAAGAACACCAGUGGCGAAGGCGGCUGUCUGGUCUGCAACUGACGCUGAGGCUCGAAAGCAUGGGUAGCGAACAGGAUUAGAUACCCUGGUAGUCCAUGCCGUAAACGAUGAGUGCUAGGUGUUGGAGGGUUUCCGCCCUUCAGUGCCGAAGCUAACGCAUUAAGCACUCCGCCCGGGGAGUACGACCGCAAGGUUGAAACUCAAAGGAAUUGACGGGGGCCCGCACAAGCGGUGGAGCAUGUGGUUUAAUACGAAGCUACGCGAAGAACCUUACCAGGUCUUGACAUCUUGCGCCAACCUCAGAGAUGAGGCGUUCC